UCUUCUUCCUGCCUGUGCCUAACCAC
rnacentral:piRNA from 1 species